rnacentral:lncRNA from 1 species
CUAAUAAUAAAACACCACCAAAGUGGGGACACCUGCUUUCAUUUAGUUGAGCAUAAUAGAAUAGCCUUCCACCCUAGAUGACCCUACUAGAAAUAUUAUUUCUGUUGUGCAUUACCCAUUCUCCCCACAUAUAUCCCUCUGCCACUUUGAGGCAGCUUAGCAGGAUUCAGGAAAUAAUAAUAAUAAUAAUGCAUUCACCCAAAAAAUUGGCAAAUACACGGAGCUCUGACAAGAAAUUGGGUGUAUCUGGGGAGUGCAAAAGGUGGUCACAGUAUCCAUCAUUCUAUCCGCAACAGGAGUA